rnacentral:rRNA from 1 species
UACAGAGGGUGCUAGCGUUGUUCGGAAUCAUUGGGCGUAAAGCGCGUGUAGGCGGCUUCGUAAGUCUGCUCUGAAAGCCCGGGGCUCAACCCCGGGAGGCGGGUGGAUACUGCGAAGCUCGAGUCCGGAAGAGGCGGGUGGAAUUCCUGGUGUAGCGGUGAAAUGCGCAGAUAUCAGGAGGAACACCAAUGGCGAAGGCAGCCCGCUGGGACGUGACUGACGCUGAGACGCGAAAGCGUGGGGAGCAAACAGG